rnacentral:rRNA from 1 species
CGUCUAGGCGGUCCGGUAAGUCACUUGUGAAAGCCCUCGGCUCAACCGAGGAAUGUCUCGUGAUACUGCCAGACUUGGGUGUGGGAGAGGAGAGCGGAACUCACAGAGUAGCGGUGGAAUGCGUAGAUACUGUGAGGUACCCCGAUGGCGAAGGCAGCUCUCUGGCCUACUACCGACGCUGAAGCGCGAAAGCGUGGGAGCAAAGG